AUUGAACGCUGGCGGCAUGCCUUACACAUGCAAGUCGAACGGCAGCACGGGUGCUUGCACCUGGUGGCGAGUGGCGAACGGGUGAGUAAUAUAUCGGAACGUACCUUAUUGUGGGGGAUAACGCAGCGAAAGCUGUGCUAAUACCGCAUAAUCCCUAAGGGGGAAAGCGGGGGACCGUAAGGCCUCGCGCAAUUAGAGCGGCCGAUACCUGAUUAGCUAGUUGGUGAGGUAAAGGCUCACCAAGGCAACGAUCAGUAGCUGGUCUGAGAGGACGAUCAGCCACGCUGGGACUGAGACACGGCCCAGACUCCUACGGGAGGCAGCAGUGGGGAAUUUUGGACAAUGGGGGCAACCCUGAUCCAGCAAUGCCGCGUGGGUGAAGAAGGCCUUCGGGUUGUAAAGCUCUUUUGUCAGGGAAGAAACAGCAGCUCUAACACAGUUUGCGAAUGACGGUACCUGAAGAAUAAGCACCGGCUAACUACGUGCCAGCAGCCGCGGUAA
rnacentral:rRNA from 1 species